GAGGAGGAGGAAUGUCGUCAGAGGGAGGAUGCAGACAGACUGAGGAAGGAGAGAGAGAAACAUUUUCAGAAAGAAGAGGCUGAAAGACUGGAGAGGAAGAAGCGUCUGGAGGAGAUUAUGAAGAGGACACGUCGCUCAGGCCCAGCGGAGAAGAAAACCACUCCUCACAAGAACGUAGACGAAUCCGGUAACUCCCUACCGAUCUGUCCUCUCAGUGCGUCGAGCUGUGAUUCUCCAGGCCCC